rnacentral:rRNA from 1 species
CCUACGGGAGGCAGCAGUGGGGAAUCUUAGACAAUGGGCGCAAGCCUGAUCUAGCCAUGCCGCGUGAGUGAUGAAGGCCUUAGGGCCGUAAAGCUCUUUCGCCUGUGAUGAUAAUGACAGUAGCAGGUAAAGAAACCCCGGCUAACUCCGUGCCAGCAGCCGCGGUAAUACGGAGGGGGUUAGCGUUGUUCGGAAUUACUGGGCGUAAAGCGCACGUAGGCGGAUUGGAAAGUUGGGGGUGAAAUCCCGGGGCUCAACCCCGGAACUGCCUCCAAAACUAUCAGUCUAGAGUUCGAGAGAGGUGAGUGGAAUUCCAAGUGUAGAGGUGAAAUUCGUAGAUAUUUGGAGGAACACCAGUGGCGAAGGCGGCUCACUGGCUCGAUACUGACGCUGAGGUGCGAAAGUGUGGGGAGCAAACAGGAUUAGAUACCCUGGUAGUCCACACCGUAAACGAUGAAUGCCAGUCGUCGGGCAGUAUACUGUUCGGUGACACACCUAACGGAUUAAGCAUUCCGCCUGGGGAGUACGGUCGCAAGAUUAAAACUCAAAGGAAUUGACGG